rnacentral:rRNA from 1 species
ACAAUGGAGAGUUUGAUCCUGGCUCAGGAUGAACGCUAGCGGCAGGCUUAAUACAUGCAAGUCGAGGGGCAGCAUGAACUGUAGCAAUACAGUUUGAUGGCGACCGGCAAACGGGUGCGGAACACGUACACAACCUUCCUUCAACUGGAGAAUAGCCUCUCGAAAGAGAGAUUAAUACUCCGUAACAUAAUGAAGUGGCAUCACUUUAUUAUUAUAGAUACGUCGGUUGAAGAUGGGUGUGCGGCUGAUUAGGUAGUUGGCGGGGUAACGGCCCACCAAGCCUGCGAUCAGUAACUGGUGUGAGAGCACGACCAGUCACACGGGCACUGAGACACGGGCCCGACUCCUACGGGAGGCAGCAGUAAGGAAUAUUGGUCAAUGGACGCAAGUCUGAACCAGCCAUGCCGCGUGAAGG